rnacentral:sRNA from 1 species
AUGGGGUGACCUGCUGAGCCGGCGGCCGUGUGCUGCAUAUAGCGCUGUGGUCACCCCACCCCUACCCC